UACAUGUGGGGCAAGCGUUGUUCGGAAUUACUGGGCAUAAAGGGUGCGUAGGCGGCUUGUUAAGUCAGGGGUGAAAGUUUUCGGCCCAACCGGAAAAUUGCCUUUGAUACUGGCGAGCUUGAGUGCGUGAGGGGUAACCGGAACGAGUGGUGUAGCGGUGAAAUGCGUAGAUAUCGUCAAGAACACCGAUAGCGAAGGCAGCUUACUGGGCUGUAACUGACGCUGAGGCACGAAAGUGUGGGGAUCAAACAGG
rnacentral:rRNA from 1 species